UUACAAAGCAGUUUACAAAUAUUAAGCUCCACCUACUUUCCACCCCUUAUUUACAUGGCUGAAGUAAUCUCACACAUCCCCCCAGUUAAUUAUAAAUACUUAUAAAGCUCUGUAAAUGUAUAUGGCACUUUACAGACAUAGAAAAAGACAUGGUCCCUACCCCAAAGAAUGUACAGUAGGAUGCCUACAAGACUAAACACAGAGCAGUAGUUCAGGAGGUGGAAAGAAGGAGAUGGAAGAGUACAGAAAGUCACUAGCAAUUUGUAGGAAAGGUCAGUGUCACCUUCUGCCGGCUGCAUGAGGCAGCCGAUUCCCUAUCUACACAUCCCAUCACUGGGGCAUGCAGCCACUAAAAAAAUCCAUGACCAAAGGACAUACAGGCCUUGGCUUGAAGUCAAACUGGCCUUACAGAGGAACACAUUACAUCAGGUGACUGUUUUAAAGAUGCCUGACCUGGAGUUUCCCAUGCUUCUGCAGCUCCCACUGAUGUGAAUGGGGGUUGUGUGUGCUUAACAUCUUUAAAAAUCAGACCAGGGAAUAGGAUCAGCUCUGCCCCGAGUCCUGUCUUCAGAUGAAGACGGUUGAGAGGAACUCAGGGGGGUGCGGGACGCGUGCGCUCUGGCAGACUCUAACAAGACAACAGCUGAGCAUAUGUGUCCUGACCAGGCACUGCUACUGAAGAUCUCCGAUCAACGGCGCUGGGACGUACCAUCACCUGGAGUGGAGCACCUACCAGGACAGCACUCGAAGAAGAAUAAAAAUUUCACGUUAAAGGAGUUUUGUUGCAUGAUUUUACCCACAUUUUUGCAACAUUAAGGAUUGAGGUUUUGCAUGCCCCUGCAUUUACAUGGAUGUAUAUUGAGAGAUGGGGCUUGUUUUUUUUAAUUCCUCUUAUAGCUGUAGAAAUAGGACAAGAAUUAUUUGAAGAGGAAAAGGAAGUUAUCUUAAUAUAGCUACCACAAACAAGCAGAGGUAAUCUGGAAAGUCUAGAAAACUUUAUAUACCUACAUGCCCACGUUGAGUCCUUGUAAAACCAAACCACAAUAGUUACAGGUUUGCCAGAAUGAAAACAUAGCUGUUCACGUCACUAUGAUUUUUACUGAAUAAGCCAACCGUGAAAAGAAAAACUCCACCAGAAUGCUGGCAUAGUAAACUUUUAAACACUUAAUAAUGAAUCUAAGUAACAGACAUGAUUUUAUAUGGGUCUUGGUUUGUUUCUCUGGCCAGAACCACCAAAAAAAGCACAAAAACUGGAAAAAAGAUCAGAAGAGAAUGACCACUGCUUUUACCACCUUCAGAAUGAAACAUAGGCCCUGAACAACCACAAGAAAGAAACACCCCCACCACCUAGACCACACCUCUUCCUUGUGGAUAGCAUACUGUUGGGCUGAUAGCUUGCAUUUUAGAGAGUCAAGAUGGAUGAGGUGAUAUCUUUUAUUGGACCAACUUCUGUUGGUGAGAAAGACAAGAUUUUGGGCUAAACAGAGCUCUUCAGGUCUGGGAAAGGUACAAGAGUGACACAGCUAAAUACAAGAUCAAGCAGAUAGUUUAGCAUAAGUAGUUAGCACAUAUUCUAAGAGGCAAUUCAAGGUAAAGUGGCCUGUAAAUACCCCUGUAGUCAUAGGACAAUAAGUGGGCUUUAGUGGGUUACAUAAUUUUAUAAUAUAAAUAUAAUAUAAUAAUAAUAAU